rnacentral:rRNA from 1 species
AUUGAACGCUGGCGGCAUGCCUUACACAUGCAAGUCGAACGGCAGCACGGGAGCAAUCCUGGUGGCGAGUGGCGAACGGGUGAGUAAUAUAUCGGAACGUGCCCAGUCGUGGGGGAUAACGUAGCGAAAGCUACGCUAAUACCGCAUACGAUCUACGGAUGAAAGCGGGGGAUCGCAAGACCUCGCGCGAUUGGAGCGGCCGAUAUCAGAUUAGCUAGUUGGUGGGGUAAAAGCUCACCAAGGCGACGAUCUGUAGCUGGUCUGAGAGGACGACCAGCCACACUGGAACUGAGACACGGUCCAGACUCCUACGGGAGGCAGCAGUGGGGAAUUUUGGACAAUGGGCGCAAGCCUGAUCCAGCAAUGCCGCGUGCAGGAUGAAGGCCUCGGUUGUAACUGCUUUGUACGGUAACGAAACGGUAGAGCUCUAAUAAAGACUUGCUAAUGACGGUACCGUAAGAAUAAGACACCGGCUAACU